rnacentral:rRNA from 1 species
GAUGAACGCUGGCGGCGUGCCUAAUACAUGCAAGUCGAGCGAACAGACGAGGAGCUUGCUCCUCUGACGUUAGCGGCGGACGGGUGAGUCACACGUGGAUAACCUACCUAUAAGACUGGGAUAACUUCGGGAAACCGGAGCUAAUACCGGAUAAUAUAUUGAACCGCAUGGUUCAAUAGUGAAAGACGGUUUUGCUGUCACUUAUAGAUGGAUCCGCGCCGCAUUAGCUAGUUGGUAAGGUAACGGCUUACCAAGGCGACGAUGCGUAGCCGACCUGAGAGGGGGAUCGGCCACACUGGAACUGGGACACGGUCCAGACUCCUACGGGAGGCAGCAGUAGGGAAUCUUCCGCAAUGGGCGAAAGCCUGACGGAGCAACGCCGCGUGAGUGAUGAAGGUCUUCGGAUCGUAAAACUCUGUUAUUGGGGAAGAACAAAUUUGUAAGUAACUAUGCACGUCUUGACGGUACCUAAUCAGAAAGCCACGGCUAACUACGUG